rnacentral:tRNA from 1 species
GGGGCUGUAGCUCAGUUGGGAGAGCGCAAGGCUGGCAGUCUUGAGGUCAAGGGUUCGAUCCCCUUCAGCUCCACCA